CCCCUAGAUGUUCUGGGCCGCACGCGCGCUACACUGACCAGUGCAACAAGCAUCCGUCCUUGGCCGACAGGCUCGGGCAAUCUUUGAACGCUGGUCGUGAUGGGGAUAGACUUUUGCAAUUUUUGGUCUUCAACGAGGAAUUCCUAGUAAACGCAAGUCAUCAACUUGCAUUGAUUACGUCCCUGCCCUUUGUACACACCGCCCGUCGCACCUACCGAUUGAAUGGUCCGGUGAAGCCUCCGGAUUGGCGCGCACCUCGGUGCCGCCGAGAAGUUGGCUAAACCUUACCAUUUAGAGGAAGGUGAAGUCGUAACA
rnacentral:rRNA from 1 species